ACUUGGGGCGGAAGAAAGCGUUCUCUCCUCUCUUUUUAGUUCCUCCUGUUCUCUCCUUCCAUUUUCCUCUCUUGCUCCUUCAAGGCUUCUUCAAGAAGAGAGGUCUCUCCUCCUCCUAUGGCUCCUUCGUCCACCGCUUUCUCCCCUCUCUAAAGAAAGACCCCGUUCGUUCCCUUUCCAUCCUUAUUAGAGCUAUUAUUAUGCCUGAAUAUCUCCUGUACCUUCUCCUUGUCUUCCUCCUCCUCACUUCUCCAUCCCCCUCCUUUGUUCGAGAAGAUCCAAAUCACUUGAAGAAGCCGCUGAUCUUGUUCCAAUUCCUCCUGGAUCUGCUCCUUCUGGAGCUGCGCGUCCGCGCCCGGCGCCUCCACUGCUCCCUCCACACCCUCCACUGCUCGCUCCACACCCUCCACUGCUUCUUCGACCAGCGCCUCCGACGCAUCCGCGUCCUCUCCGUCCGUUUGAAACCCCUCCUCGCAUGAUCUCCUGCCCCCUCCAUUCCUCCGUGUCUUCUAGCCGUCACCCUCCUCUCCUCUUUCUCUUCAAUUUCUCCUCUCGUGUUAUGUGGUUCUUGAAAUCUUGGUGGCUGUGCCAGUUUCUCUCUUGCCCUUCCCUCCGAUGGAUGCCGUGCCAUGAAUUCCUGAUGUCUCUGAGUCCUUCCCGUUCUCAGUCUCUUGUCGAGAGUGAGACCCUGACGUAUGGAAAUGAGGCUAAUGGGGAGGGGAGCUGGAUGUCUCUUCGAAGGCGGUGGUGGCCUGGGGUUGAUGGGUUCAAGCUUUUUCUUGUGCUGCUCUUGAUAUCGACCAUGUUUGCUGAAGUCCGUUACAUUGCCUCUUCCUCCAUGCUCCCUACUUUCCGUGCUGGUGAUCGGAUCAUCGCUGAAAAGGUUUCGUACUAUUUCAGGAGCCCUUCCGUGGAUGACAUUGUGCUUUUCAGGGCGUCUAAUGGUUUACAGGAUCUUGGAUUCAAGGAGGAUGAUGUUUUCAUAAAGAGGAUUGUUGCAAAGGCUGGAGACUAUGUUGAGGUUCACGGUGGUCUGCUUUUCAUCAAUGGAAUUGCCCAAAACGAGGAAUUUGUUGCAGAAAAACCAGUUGACAGCAUGGGAGCGACAGAAGUAGACACAAUAGAAGCGGGAGGAUAUCCGAGUUGGCCUGGUCUGCUCCAUGUUGUUGACAUCUUGAGUGCUUCGUGGUAAUGAAAUAUCUCAUUACAAGCCUCAGAUGGAUCAUUGUCUGCUUGCGCGUGCCGGCAGGCCAUGUCUAUGUAAUGGGUGACAACCGCAGCAACAGCUGUGAUUCGCGUGAAUGGGGACCUCUUCCUGUUGCCAAUAUUGUAGGAAGAUACAUGAUGUGCUGUUCCAGGCUUUCUGGUCUGUAGCGUGGACGAAGAGGCCAGUGGAUUCAGGUGUCACCAACUGCCUGUUUUUGAUGGGAUGUUUCAUGUUGUUUUAAGGCAGCCGCAGUGGUGUCUUCAGGAAAUUCUAGGGACCUCGCCAGCAGCAAGCAUGCUUGGUGUGGCACUGGUUGAAUUUGCUUGCCUACGUUUGGGUCUCGAGCCUCAAGGAGUUGCUUCGUCUGACGGUUGCCAGUUUUCAAGGACAAACUAGUAAUGCUGUUAGUUUGACAGUCUUGUUCUUUAAGAAUGUCAUCUAUGCUUCAAGUGUACUGGAACCAAUUAAUUAUGUACUGCUAUGUGUUGUUGUUACCUGUUGUUGCAACGCUUUUUAGAAAACGAUACAACUUUAUUAUUAACUAGAAAAAAGCUACUAGAAAUUGCGUGUUUGUUUCGUAAAUUUAAGGAAACUUGGAAGUGAUGUGUUUUUAUUUUUUAAGCAUUUGACACA